GUGGGGAAUAUUGGACAAUGGGGGGAACCCUGAUCCAGCCAUGCCGCGUGUGUGAAGAAGGCCUUUUGGUUGUAAAGCACUUUAAGCGAGGAGGAGGCUACCGAGAUUAAUACUCUUGGAUAGUGGACGUUACUCGCAGAAUAAGCACCGGCUAACUCUGUGCCAGCAGCCGCGGUAAUACAGAGGGUGCAAGCGUUAAUCGGAUUUACUGGGCGUAAAGCGCGCGUAGGUGGCCAAUUAAGUCAAAUGUGAAAUCCCCGAGCUUAACUUGGGAAUUGCAUUCGAUACUGGUUGGCUAGAGUAUGGGAGAGGAUGGUAGAAUUCCAGGUGUAGCGGUGAAAUGCGUAGAGAUCUGGAGGAAUACCGAUGGCGAAGGCAGCCAUCUGGCCUAAUACUGACACUGAGGUGCGAAAGCAUGGGAGCAAACAGGAUUAGAUACCCCGGUAGUCC
rnacentral:rRNA from 1 species